rnacentral:rRNA from 1 species
AUUGAACGCUGGCGGCAUGCUUUACACAUGCAAGUCGAACGGUAACAGGCCGCAAGGUGCUGACGAGUGGCGAACGGGUGAGUAAUGCAUCGGAACGUGCCCAGUCGUGGGGGAUAACGCAGCGAAAGCUGUGCUAAUACCGCAUACGAUCUAUGGAUGAAAGCGGGGGACCGUAAGGCCUCGCGCCAUUGGAGCGGCCGAUGUCAGAUUAGGUAGUCGGUGGGGUAAAGGCCCACCAAGCCAACGAUCUGUAGCUGGUCUGAGAGGACGACCAGCCACACUGGGACUGAGACACGGCCCAGACUCCUACGGGAGGCAGCAGUGGGGAAUUUUGGACAAUGGGCGCAAGCCUGAUCCAGCAAUGCCGCGUGCAGGAAGAAGGCCUUCGGGUUGUAAACUGCUUUUGUACGGAACGAAACGGUCUGGGUUAAUACCUCGGGCUAAUGACGGUACCGUAAGAAUAAGCACCGGCUAACUACGUGCCAGCCGCCGCAGUAAAAC